ACCCCCUGCAGUUCCCUCCACCCUCCUGGCCUUCCAGAUCCCCUCUUCCCACUCCAUGUGCUCAACCUGUCAGACAGACCUGGUCUGUUUUCUAUCCCCAGCCCUGGCACACGGCUGGAACCUGGUUCCCUGGAAAUUUCUGCUUGAGCUUUCUCAAUUUCAUAGUUGUUGAGGAUCUGGACUUGUCCCUGGCAUUUCUGUUAUUUCCAGAGAUUACUGCGCUCAGGAUUUCCUCUGCCUGCAAUUCUAACCUCAGGUGCCUGGGCGAGGUGAUCUGAGGAUCAAGAUCUGCAGGCAGGGCCUGAUUUUCUGUUUUGUAAGAGCAACCAGGAGCACCCGUGAGGUCAGACAGACUGAGGUCAGUGGAGUCUCUGUGAUGCUGCUGGAGUUCGGCAGCAUCACUCUGUGCUCUCUUGGGACACACUGGCCUGGAAGGUGAAAGUCACAGCCUACUUUUGCUGCCUGCUGCUUGGGUUUGGUCUCCUGACAGCUGUUGGGAAAACUCCUUUGACUUGAGGCAGGGGCAGGGGUGCCGGCAAUUGCUCACCUCCACCCCACCCCCAAAAGUGGAGUGCAGAGAAUCCCACAGAUGCCUAAGUGAACUCAGGCCCCGCAAAGCCCUGUUAAGGGCAGCCCCUCACCCAAUCUGCAGGAAGUCAUUGGAGGUUGCACCUACUGCAAGUGUCUCUAUAGACAAGGGUGAUGGGCAGAGAGCCUGGAGGGCCAGGCCGCCCAGCUGGAAAGGCAGCAGGAAGGAGGCUAUAGCUGAGAUUGUGGGCAGGUAUCCUCCAGGCAAGACACAACCUCCCACUGAGAACAUAAUUAUUUUUAACCCCUGAACUUUAUCCAAUCAACCUUCCUGGGGUAAUGAAUAAAAAUUGGUGCACGGGCUCAGGAUCCACAGGGAAGGAAGUGAGCAGGGUCAGCAGAACCAGGGGUUUGGUUUUGUAGAGUAAGUUCAGUGGACCAUGGGUUUCAACCUUCUUUUUAAAAGCAAUGCCUAGAUAAAUUGAGGUCCAGUGGAGACCUACAUCAAAACUCUGCAGAGUAGAGGCAUUAAGGUCCAGGAGUCCAGGCUUUCGGGGGGCCACUGAGGAGGACCCGAAGCUCCUCCUGUGAGUAUCUGACAUCUCGGGAAAUAAGAAGUGAUAGCAUGAAAAGAAGGAGGAAUCCUCUGGGCCUGGGGCAUCUGUUCCCCAGCAAAAAGGUGGGCACUGGCCUUGCUUCAGGUCCCCAAGGAUCUUAGGAAGCCUCCAAGGGGCUUAGACUGGCCAACACCACCCUGUGGCCCUCCUCCUUUUCCUGGGUCAACUGCCUUUGGGUGCCAAUCUCAAACCUUUUCUUGUUUCCAAAUCUGCUAGGAAGGGACAGCUGCGAACUGUACACCCUGUGACUUGUCGUCUGGGUGGAGGAAAGUUGUGGGAGAGGUACCCUGGGGGCCACCUCAACUGGGACCACCUUCCUCCUCUUUCCUAACAUACCACCCUUCUUGGAAACUGCUGGUCAGGGCCUGGUGUCCUCAGCUGUGAUCCCCUUCCCCUACCACCUCUCCUUGGGGCCUCAGUGGCUAUGGCUUGCUGCCUAGUUCCAGUGGUGACUCCAGAACCCUGUCUCCCAGAAUCUCUGGAGCUGCUUCCUGGAUCUUGAGACAGGACCUUUACUACAGUGUGAUAAAGCUUCAGAGGUGGGGAGAAGCAGCUGCCAUUGCCUGCUGAAGUCCUGGGGUCUUUACCUCCCUCCUUCUCAGGUGCAGGACCCCCUUCCUCACUCCCGGAGAGGACGGAGCAAGAAAGCCUUCCCCAUCUCCCCAUCUAAGUGAGGCCAGUCCCAGAGCAUGAUUUCCUUGGGCCCCAGGCUAUGUGGAAACCUCCCCCAUCCCGGACCCAGGUCUAAAGCCCACUUCCUGUGGGACAGAGCCACCGAGAGCCAGAGAGACAGCGGGAGUCAGGGGGAUCACAACCAUUUGGUUUAAAGAAAAAUUCUCCAAACUGCCUUGUGUCAACCUAAAAUGAAGCGACUGAGGCACUAAAUACAAUUUGGCCGGGCGCGUGGCUCACGCCUGCAAUCCUAGCACUUUGGGAGGCCCAGGUUGGCUGAUUACCUGAGGUCAAGAGGUCAAGACCAGCCUGGCCAAUAUGGUGAGACCCGUCUUUACUAAAAAUACAGAAAAUUAACUGGGCCUGGGGGUGGGCGCCUAUAAUCCCAGCUACUUGGGAGGCUGAGGCAGCUGAGGCAGGAGAAUUGCUUGAACCUGGGAGUCAGAGGUUGCAGUGAGCUGAGAUCAUGCCAUUACACUCCAGCCUGGGCAACAAGAGCAAGACUUCCCCUCAAAAAAAAAAAGAAAUCCGACUGUUGGUGGUGAUUAAUAUAGAGAAGGUGCUUGGGGGCACCAGGGCAGUGGAGGAUGGGAUUUUCUUCCUGUUUCACAUGGGCCUGAUGCUUUAGAGCUCAUGGACAGGAUCUGUUAUUUCCUGAGAUGCCCACAUCAGCCUAGAGGGAUGGGCAGGGCAGGGGCCGCCACCCACAGUUGACAGCUCAGGAACGUGAAAUGAGGGAUUUGAAGUGACCUGCCUAGAGUCACAGCACUCAGGAGUGAAGGAUCUAGGACAAGAAUGUAGAUGAUGCUCCGGGACAGAGGUCCCUGAACACCUGAGACCCCUAAGUCCCGGCCUGGACCCUGAACCAGGAGCUCUUUUCACUCCCUUUCUCAAGCCUCCUCCCCAGGGUCUCUUCAGGAAGGAGGAUGCUGGGAGGUGGCUAAGUCCAGAGAAGAGCUCCAGUCAUUCAAACAGAAACCUCUGGCCCCUGACCUUUGCAGUGAGCACAUGACCAGUGACCACCCUGAGGGACCAGGGGUUUGCUUGGCCCCCAAGCUGGCUCAGAACUCAGGACAUUCCAAGCCAACUGCCACUUAACAGCUGUGCCAGGAAUAAACUUUCCUUCAACUGACCAACUCUGCACGGGCAGCUAACAGAAGUUAACUGAAAAUGUGCCAUCAGGGCUGGUGCAUCAGUGGUUUGAUGAAUUAAAUCUAGGACCCAUCCAUCUUGCUGACGGCUGACCUGAGCAGCUGCCUGAGCAGGCUGCACCGAGGCCUGCCUGAGAGUGGGCAGCACCUCAGUGAAGACCACUGAAUGACUGGAAGCCAUGCUGACGACCAGGGCCCUUGAGGUUAAUGAGACACAGGUAAAGUGUGCCCAGGGCCAUUAGCAGGUGCGGUGAGGAAGAGGGCUAUGAGCAGAAAGUUAGCUCCUCGCCUGCUCACAGGACACAACCCAGACACAGCAAAAGCCAAGAGCACAAAACCAUGAACAGCUGAGACAAAUACUGACUUCUUAGACCUUAAAGGCAAGCAUUUUGGUAUUAUAGUGACAGAAUUAGAACCUGGGAGGAGUUGAAGGAGCUGAUGAAAAUUUGAAGGAGAGGUCACGCGUGGUGGUUCAUGCCUGUAAUCCCAGCACUUUGGGAGGCUGAGACGGGCGGAUCAUUUGAGAUGAGGAGUUCAAAACCAGCCUGGCCAACAUAGUGAAACUCCAUCUGUACUAAAAAGCAAAUAAACAAACAAAAUUAGCCAGAGAUAGUGGUGGGUGUCUGUAAUCCCAGCUACUCAGGAGGCUGAGGGCAGGAGAAUCACUUGAACCCUGCAGGUGGAGGUUGCAGUGAGCCAUAAGCCAAGAUUGUGCCAUUGCACUUCAGCCUGGGCGACAAAGGGAGACUCUGUCUCAAAAAAAAAAAAAAGGAGGAGAGUUCUUAUCCCAAACAAGUAUAAAGAUACAUCUUUCCCAGAUAAAAAGAAACAGAAGACAAUGAUGUGGGACCUGCAAAUUUCAUGUAAAGAGACACAGUAAAAGUCAAAAUGCAUUUGGAUGCCUCGACUCAGAAGACUUUGGUCUGUAAUCCCCUCUCAUGGGCUGUCUCAUACUGCACUUGGUAUCAAGAUUCUCCCGAUCUGAUGAAGGCAGGGUUGUUUCUUCUGGAUUUAUUCUAUGGAAAAGUGUGCAUAAAAUUGGCAUGGGAAACUGGAGGACAUUUUUCUAAAUAGAAAUAUUUAAGGCAAAAAUCUUGAUAGAAAAAUCUUUGUAUUCUUGAUAGAAAAAUCAAGAAUACAAAUUGAGUCAUAAAACUCUAAAAUGUGUACAUCUGUAGAUAAUCUGGAAAUAAAAAUUGGGGGAAAUAAAAAAAUUAGAGAGACAUUUUAAGUACAAGUGGCCCAUCUGAAGAAACUGCAGCGAGAAGAUGGAAAUGAACAUAGCUUCAAGGCAGGAGCAAAGGCUGCCUCCCAUCUUGACUAGUAGUCUCCCAGCUAUGUACAGUGUGAAAUGGCAGUUCGCAGAGUGGCAGCUGAAACAGAAGGCGAGGCCUACAUCAUGAGAUGAGAUCGGGUGCAUUCAGGGUGGUGUGGCCGUAGACAAGGUCUCCAUCUUUUGAUUUCUUUCUAUUUCAUUUGAAUUAAGAUAUGCAAAUCUCACCAUGGACAUUAUAGAUGAUCCACAGAGUUUAUUGGUGGGCAAAGGUAUGUGAGAGCCCAUUACCAACUUGGAACUGGUUCCAGAUGGCACCCAUAGAUGACAGCUUCAGGGACAGACUGCAAGGCAGAGAGCAUUUUCCUCAGGAGAAAUGCUGUCUUUUAAAAAGAAGGUAGAAUUUGCAACCAAAAGAAAUUGGUCUAGAUAGAAGCAGCUGGACACCAUAGUGUGGCACGAGUUUAUUUGAACAUUUUACGGUGACAUCACUGAGGUCAAAAGAAAUGAAAUUCCCAUCUCAGACAAAGACUUUACCAAGUGACCAGCUGGAACUUGUUCUGAGGAAGUCUCUCCGGUCCACUCCCCUACCAGGUCAUUCUGGAAACCUAGGAAAUGUAGAGUCACUGUCAGCCAUGGGAGCUGCUGAAGGCCCUCUGGCAGCCCUGGGUGCCGAGGACACAGGACUGCUGUACGAAGGAGGUGGGGUAGGAGCAGGGGCUGAGCUGCUGCUGGGCCACCCUCCUUGGUGGUGAAGGAAGACAAAGGACACCAUCAGGAGAGCCCUGGGGGACAGAGCCUCGGGUCUCUGGCUAAGGCACCGUCAUCACUGUGAAGUAGGCAGUGUUCACAGAGGCAGCACACAAGUGCAGGGCAUGACUCCAGGACAGGGUCUCUGCACAGAAAGAGGCCUGUUGCAGACUUCAGGAGCAGACGGGACAACAGCAGCAAACACAGAGGGGAGCCCACGCACUUCUCCCUGACCCUGAAUCAGAACCCACACAGGAACCUGCAUUCGUGUGGGACUCAGCAGAGUGCAGAGGUUCCCAUGGAGGAUCCAGUAAAGGAACUUCACAAUGACAAGGAAAAGGAGGCUGUAUGUCACGUGAAGGCCAGACCCCCUGCAUUUGUCUGAGGAAUACAGUUGCUUUCCAAGCUUCAUCUUUCUGAAUGAGCCUAAGAGAUGAGACUCCGACUGUAUGUAUUAUAGACAACUCAUACAGUAUCCUUGGAUGGGGGAAUUCUGAGUGACAGUCUGUUCCCCACUGAAGCUCGAUUUCAGACAGCAGGAAAAAAUCAUGCUGCUGCUUCCCUAAAAUCCACUUGUGCUGCUGCCAUGUGUAUCAGUCAUUCUAGAAUAUUUUAUACUUGGUAAAAAGCAACCUUUGUUCAGGGAGAACAUCUCAUUCUAGCCAAAAUAUUCUAUAUAUUCACUAAUCUUUUGUUUUAAAGACAAUAAAACAAAAUUUUGAAAAUACUCAAUUAUUAUCUCACUUAAAGAUAACUCCUAUGUAGCAAGUGUUAUCUGUCCUUGCACUCAACCUUCUCAACGCAAUGUCUGCAUGUGUCGGGAGUCUGUUGCUGCUCACAAACACUGGCUCUGACACUGGGACAGCCCGUCAUGGGGGCAGCAGGUGAGGGUGCUGACCCUCUCCAUCCCAGCUGUGCAGGAGGUUCCUGCAGGGUAGAUGGGUGGGAGGCAGCACUCAAGUUGUUCCUUGAGAUUAUAUUCGGUGCUGAGUCUUCACUGUGUUUACUCCUCAACUAAAGCAUUAUUAUUGUUAUUUUAAUAAAGGGUCUCUGUCAUCCAGGCUGGAGUGUAGUGGCAUAAUCUCUGCUCAUUGGAACCCAUGCCUCCUGGGCUCAAGUGAUCCUCCCCACCAAGACUCCCAGGUAGCUGGGACUACAGAUGCACCACCACACCCAGCUAUUCUUUUUUUUUUUUUAGUAGAUAUGGGGUUUCACCAUGUUGCCUAGGCUGAUCUCCAAUUCCUGGACUCAAGUAAUCCACUUGCCUCAGCCUCCCAAAGUGCUAGGAUUACAGGCAUAAAUCACUUGCCUGGCCAACUGGAGCAUUUCUAAGGCCUAUGAUGAUCUUGUUAUUAAACACAGUAGAGUAUGAUUAUUCUCUGCUUUUGACCAUGAGCUGAGAAAUGAUCCCACCACUGCUGCCAAAAUCCCGUGAGUGCUCUGUGUGUUUCACAUUAAUGACCACAGCAAAGUCCAUUGUAAAAUGUACCUAUUCCUACCCUGGGUUAGGCAACCUUUGAGACCUCCCUACAAUGACAAAUGUUUGGGACCUCUCUAAGUUAUCAUAUUUCCACAUGCACACAUAAUGCCAAAACUCCCUGGCAUAAUGAUGAGUUAUACCAGGGCUGGCUUGUGAAUGCACAAUAGUAGUCUAUUGCAUCCACCCUCCACCCAUUCCUGAGUUCACAUCUGCCUCUUCCAUUUAGAUCGAGACAAUAGUAGUCUAUUGCAUUCACCCUCCACCCAUUCCUGAGUUCACAUCUGCCUCUUCCAUUUAGAUCGAGAGCCUGGGAAAUUCAUCUCUGCACCAUCUCUAUCUGAGGAGUGAGGAUAUAACAUUUACCUUUGUUUACCUUGAGGUACAGCUGUGGUGGAGGAUGAAUGGGUUAAUUUAUGUGAAGUGUGCAGUAGUGACACAAUGUUUUAGACAGUUUUUCUGAAUUUUCUGGGAAAAUGCGCAUACACUCCCAAAGACAUUCCCAAUCACUCCACACGGCUGUCUCCUCCAUACCUCAUCGCCCUGAGGCACACCACCCUAUUCCAUCUAAAUGGCAAUUCUGCCUCCAGGGACUCGAGGGGAUGGUCAUCGUUCUUUACUGGAUGGGCUCAGUGUUUUUACACCAAACUGUCCAAAUCUCCUUUCUGUCAGGAAGCUCAAAGCAAAGCGGCCCUCCAGCAAAAGUGGUUCCCCAGGAGGUGCGGGUUCCAGUGAGCAGAGAUUGUGGAUGUCUUCCAGGGGAUCCUCAGUGGGCACUAGGAGGACAGAAGCUAGGAACUGUGACUGUUUGCUACACUGAAGAUCUUUCCUUACCAAAGGAAUGCUUCAGAAUACACACCCUUUUCUUUGGUGGGUUCCUCAACCUGCAUUGAGAGAAAGAAAAACACCAUGAGCUACAGACCACCCUGAGUCCCAAGUGCACAGGUGUUUUCUUCACUUGGUGACAUUAGAAAAGCAGAUGGGAAACAGCAUUCAAGUCAAAAGAACACAGAAGAAGAACAGGACAAAUGACUAAUGCUGAAGUUUUUCUGGAGGAUGUUUCCUCUCAAAGUCAUGUGGCUUAGUGGUGAAGUGAUCUUGUCUCAAGGAGAGAAUCAAGCUGUUGAGGAGGAAGCUCACUGCCACUCAGUGCGUGGCUGGUGCUGCCAUUUUUUCCUCUGUCUUUUUUUUUUUUUUUUUGAGACGGAGUUUCGCUCUUGUUACCCAGGCUGGAGUGCAAUGGCGCGAUCUCGGCUCACCGCAACCUCCGCCUCCUGGGUUCAGGCAAUUCUCCUGCCUCAGCCUCCUGAGUAGCUGCGAUUACAGGCACGCGCCACCAUGUCCAGCUAAUUUUUUGUAUUUUUAGUAGAGACAGGGUUUCACCAUGUUGACCAGGAUGGUCUCAAUCUCUUGACCUUGUGAUCCACCCACCUCGGCCUCCCAAAGUGCUGGGAUUACAGGCUUGAGCCACCAUGCCCGGCCAGUUUCCUCCUGUCUUAAAUCAAGCUUCAGUGGGGAACAGACUCUCACUCAGCAUUCCUCCCGCAAGGACACUGUAUAAGUCACUUAUGAUACAUAUGAUCAUAUUUUAUUUUAAUUCAUUAAGAUAAAGCUAAGAAAGUAACUUUUUCUCAGACAAAACCAGGUGUCCUGACCUUCAAAUGCCAUGGGGCAGCCUCAUCUGAGCUCAUUGGUGAGGUCUUCCUGGGGAUCCUCAGUGGGAACUAGGACACAGAGUGAUCGUCAGCACCACGGUGGUGUUGCUCAUUAACAAUGCAGGGGCCACUGUUAGUUGUGGGUGUGGACAAAGGGCAGCAGGUGCAGGGGAGCAGGGAGGAAAGUCUUUAUAGCCCAGGCUGCCUCAUCAACGUGAAAUAGCCCAUCUCGAAAAGGACACAUCACUCAGGGCAGGGGGUGUGUCCCUGCUGCCUCUCAGGUCUCCUGCCUCCUAAUCUGACCUGAGCUCACUUGCCCUCCCUUCCUGAGCCCUUCCAUGGUCAUUUCCUCUCUAGAAUACACCUGUGCUGCUGCUGCUGUGAAUAUCAUCCUCCUAGAGGGUUUCUACUUGACAAAAAGCAACUUUUCUUUAAACGGAAGAUUUAAUUCUAACCAAAAUAUUCUAUUUAUUCACUAACCCUUUGUCUUUAAGACAAUGAAACAAAGCUCUGAAAAUAUGCAGUUUUCCUCCCAUUUAAAGAUAAUCUCUAUUUAGCACCUACUGUCUGUCCUUCCAUUCUCUUUUCCAUAUGCCGUGUGUGUGUCUGUGGAGACCAUUGCCACUCACACUCACACUGGCUCAGACACUGGGACAGCCCAUCAUGGGGGCAGCCUGUUAUGGGGAAAAGACCCCAUAAGUGCCAAGGCAGGAGCCAAAAGCCUUAGCCUAUUUCCAUAUAGAUAAUGAAGAGGAAAGUAACAAGAAAUGUAGUUGUAGUAGUUAUUAGCUAUUGAUAGGUAAUCUUAGUCAUAGGUGAUCUUAAUUCUUUUUUUUCCCUACAUCAGUUUUAUUUAAAACACAAACAAGUAUUUCUCUUUCUGAAAGGGCAAAUGGUUCAAAUAAUGCAAAACACAAAACACUGACUAAUACAAGUGCUUUAAAUAUGAAA